rnacentral:rRNA from 1 species
UACGGGGGGGAGCAAGCGUUGUUCGGAUUUACUGGGCGUAAAGGGCGCGUAGGCGGUCAGCACAAGUCAGUGGUGAAAGCUCCGAGCUUAACUCGGAAACUGCCAUUGAUACUAUAGGUCUUGAAUUCGGUCGAGGUUGGCGGAAUGUGUCGUGUAGCGGUGAAAUGCUUAGAUAUGACACAGAACACCGAUUGCGAAGGCAGCUAGCUAGACCGACAUUGACGCUGAGGCACGAAAGCGUGGGGAUCAAACAGG